GAUGAACGCUGGCGGCGUGCUUAACACAUGCAAGUCGAACGGAAAGGCCAGUGCUUGCACUGGUACUCGAGUGGCGAACGGGUGAGUAACACGUGGGUGAUCUGCCCUGUACUUCGGGAUAAGCUUGGGAAACUGGGUCUAAUACCGGAUAGGACAACUUUUUGGAUAUUGUUGUGGAAAGCUUUUGCGGUAUGGGAUGAGCUCGCGGCCUAUCAGCUUGUUGGUGGGGUAAUGGCCUACCAAGGCGUCGACGGGUAGCCGGCCUGAGAGGGUGUACGGCCACAUUGGGACUGAGAUACGGCCCAGACUCCUACGGGAGGCAGCAGUGGGGAAUAUUGCACAAUGGGCGCAAGCCUGAUGCAGCGACGCCGCGUGGGGGAUGAAGGCCUUCGGGUUGUAAACUCCUUUCGCUAGGGACGAAGCGUAAGUGACGGUACCUGGAGAAGAAGAACCGGCUAACUACGUG
rnacentral:rRNA from 1 species